GACGGUACCCGUAGAAGAAGCCCCGGCUAACUUCGUGCCAGCAGCCGCGGUAAUACGAAGGGGGCUAGCGUUGUUCGGAAUUACUGGGCGUAAAGGGCGCGUAGGCGGUUCUUUAAGUCAGGUGUGAAAUCUCGGGGCUCAACUCGGAGGCUGCCUUCGAAACUGGAGUGCUUGAGUGCGGGAGAGGUGAGUGGAAUUGCCGGUGUAGAGGUGAAAUGCGUAGAUAUUAGGAGGAACACCUGUGGCGAAAGCGGCUCACUGGACCGGUACUGACGCUGAGGCACGAAAGCGUGGGGAGCAAACAGGAUUAGAUACCCUGGUAGUCCACGCCCUAAACGAUGCAUGCUUGGCGUUGGCGGUUCUGUUUGUUAGUGGCGCAGCUAACGC
rnacentral:rRNA from 1 species